GAAGAUGAACUAAAUACCCUAAAGGUGCCAGAUCCCAUCUGAUCUUAGAAGCCAAGCAGGUUCAACUCUUGUUAGUAUAUGGAUAGGUGACCACCAACAAAUAACAAAUGCUGUCGAUU
rnacentral:rRNA from 11 species